rnacentral:lncRNA from 10 species
UCUCAUUUUCUGUUCCUUCAUAACAUGAUGGCAACUCCUGGCAACUCCAAGAUGAAAGGCAAAAAAGAAAAUAAAAACUACCUGGGGCCCCCUACCAGAAUGAGUGGUUAAUCUAAUGGAGAGAAAAGCAGAGAUUUAUACAUAUUUUAAAAUGCUUCCUGGGGACAAAGCAGAUCUAAUGAAUUGCUGAGCCACAAUCUACUGGAAAAUCCAUAAAUGUUCGUCCCUGCUGUCACAGGGCUAGAGGAUUUUUUUUUUUAAUGAAAUGCUUUAAUGCUAACCUGACAGGGCUAACCUGACAGGUUUAAGUCAGCUAUGAGACGUGAUUUGCAUUCAUUUCGCUUCUAAAUCCCUAAAGAUCAGCAACAAUAUUGACCCGCAAUUAUAUAUCCUACGUUGCACUGUUCAAGAUGCCAUUUGAGGCUGGGAAAGUAGUGGUUUAGCAACACCAGGCGGCUCUAUGAUGCUAAAAUAACAACGCAACACUGGAUUCCGAACCCAAGUACUCAUCUUUUAAAACCCAGUGCCGCACCAGGACCCACAUUCAAAGCUCGCGUCCCUUCAAGUUGAAUCUUCCGGCUUUGUGCGAUUUACCCUCUCAAACUUUCUAGUUUGCAAGUCAGAAUUACUUUGAACGUCCCCUCUUCUGGACUCCCCUCCCCAAAGGGACUGGCGGCAAAGGAGAAUAGAAUGCAGAUGGUUAAUAGUUCAAAUGAAAUUUAAAAACCUAUAAACCAAUAUUUUUUUAGAGGAGAAAAGCGUUCACCAAACCGCCACCCGGCAAGCGAGCAUCCGAUUUCCAUCCGGAGGAAAAAAUAUUUUAAAAACCAGACAUAAAAUUCCCUUUGCAAGAAAAGUGGCCUCUAAACUCCCUUGCCAAGGACACUGGGAGGAAGCAGAAAAGCAAAGACCAAGCUCGUACUUUUCAGUCCGCGGCUUGUGUGCCGCGAGGAGAGGCGCAAAGGGUGACACACCAGGAAAGCAGGUAGCAGGCAAGAGUGUGGUUAUCGUUGGACCAGGAUUCAGGAUCUGACUGAGUAGCUGACUCUUAAUCCAGUUUGUGUUGAUCACCAGGAGGAUCUGGACCUCAGUAUUACCACAUCUAGAGCUAUAAUCACAUCCCUGUUAAGCCUUCCUGAGAUCACACCAAAUGUCCUUGAUGGGAAUUGUAAACAACCCUUACUUCUGGUUUCUAAUGAUAUUCCAGGAAAGGAGCCUAACUAGAGUCAGUGAUAUGCCAACUCCACCUUUGCCUUCCACCAUGUUUGGAAGCUCCCUGAGGCCUCACCAGGAGCAGAUGCUCGUCCCAUGCUUCCUAUAAGCCUGCAGAACUGGAAAAGAAAGCUGGAUAAAGUAUUUAUAGAAGAUAGAGGACCUGUGGUGGCUCAUGCCUGUAAUCCAAGGUGGAAGGAUUGCUUGAGGCCAGAAGUUCAAGACCAGUCCAAGCAACAUAGCAAGGCCCCAUCUCUACAAAAAAUGAAAAUAAAAUUAGCCGAGCGUGAUGGCUCAUGCCUGUAGUUCUAGCUUCUAGAGAGGCUGAGGCAGGAGGAUUGCUUGAGUCCAGGAGUUCAAGAUUACAGUGAGCUAUGGUCACACCACUGCACUCCAGCCUGGGUGAUGGAGUGAGACUGUCUCAAUAAAAAGACAAAAAGGCUGGCCAGGGGCAGUGGUUCAUGCCUGUAAACCCAGCACUUUGGGAGGCAAAGGCAGGAGGAUUGCUUAAGCCCAGGAAUUUGAGAUCAGCCUGGACAACAUGGUCAAGGAAGCUUUUCCUGAUCCACUAACUAAGGACAAUCAAACCCUUCAUGAUCUAGAAUCUGGAGACUGUGUCUUCUGGGAAUAGUAUCAGAGAAAGACUGCCCUUACUGCCCACAUGUAGCAAAACUUUGAGACGUUGAAUUAUGGGUCCAUAAUCUCACAACUCAGAGGGGCACCUCUAGACUCUUGGAACUGUAUAUCUAUUGGAGACUUUAAGGUAAAGCUGAACAGAGAGACGUUUUUCUCCAGAAGCAGACAGCACCAUAGUCAUGGACAGCUUUCCCAAGAUCACAGAUCAAGACUUCUCUGCCGUCAUGAGACUCAUAACCUCUUAAUUUUUUCUUGCUUAUGCUUCUGUGAACAAUAGAAUUGGAAAAGGGGUGGUCCCGCGUGCACCCAUAGGGUAUACUUUUAUUUGUGGAGGAUUUUGCUGCCAACCUUAUACAUGGGCAAACUUAUGCCUUCAUGGAUGGAAGAUAAAGGGCUAAUAUGGGUUAGAAAUUUUAAUGGUACCUUUGUUUCUCCAUAAUCAUUCAGAAACAGAACACUGGUCCACUCUUGUUAACCUACAUCAUAGGUUGAAGAGAACAUUGCCAGGAGGCCUUCAUCCUUCCAGAUGGGCACCAUUUGUUGGGUCUUUUUCCGUGGUAUGAAGAAAAUGAAGCAAUGAUUAGAAAUUGGUCCCUCGGCCGGGCACAAUGGCUCAUGCCUGUAAUCCCAUCACUUUGGCAGGCCGAGGCGGGUGGAUCACCUGAGGUCAGGAGUUUGAGACCAGCCUGACCAAUGUGGUGAAACGCCAUCUCUACUAAAAAUACAAAAAUUAGCUGGGUGUGAUGGUGCACACCUGUAAUCCAGCUACUCGGGAGGCUGAGACAGGAGAAUUGCUUGAACCUGGGAGGCAGAGGUUGCAGUGAGCCAAGAUCACCCCACUGCAUUCCAGGUUGGGCAACAGAGCAAGACUCUGUCUCAAAAAAAAAAGAAGAAAGAAAGAAAUUGAUCCCUCAUAAUAGGCUGUAUAGCAGAUUCUACUGCAAAGGCUAUGGUUGCACAACAGACUUCUUUGAAUUUGCUUGCUAAACUUUUACUGGAUAAUACUGGGAUUACAGGUGUGAGCCACUGUGCCCAGCCUCUCCUGUUUAACUGUAUUCAUUCUAAUGUUUACUUACUUCUUUAAUUUGUAAAAUUGGGUCACUUAGAGUUUUUUUAGCCUAUCUUGCCAUUUAGCCACUGUUACUGAUAAUUUGGAUGGAAAAGAAAAAUAAAUUAUAUCACCUCUCAUCUUCAGUGUAUAUAUGUGUUAACUUAGUAAAUAUAGUAUUCUUUCUCGUUCCUAAUGAAAAUUUAGUUUACGUACUGAAACACUGCAAACUUUUAUAAAUAUUGUGAUGUAUUUGACCAAUACAAAGGAUCUUUUUAGAAACAGCAAACAGUUCUCAGAUUAUAGGAAUUACUCAUUUAAUGAUAGUUUCUUCUU